CAAUUCACUUCAGAAAGGCAGAUGUCCAUAGAGUAAAUUGACAAGCAGAAUCAUACCGAUUUCCAAUGGAAGCUGAUUGAAAACAAGAAUGUCCACAACAGCUGGCCGGUUCUAUUGAUUGUGGGAUCUUCAUGUUGUUGGUAA